rnacentral:rRNA from 1 species
UACGAAGGGGGCUAGCGUUGCUCGGAAUUACUGGGCGUAAAGCGCACGUAGGCGGCUUUCUAAGUUGGGGGUGAAAUCCUGGAGCUCAACUCCGGAACUGCCUUCGAUACUGGAAGUCUUGAGUCCGGGAGAGGUGAGUGGAACUCCGAGUGUAGGGGUGAAAUUCGUAGAUAUUCGGAAGAACACCAGUGGCGAAGGCGGCUCACUGGCCCGGUACUGACGCUGAGAUACGAAAGCGUGGGGAGCAAACAGG